AAUGGGGGCAACCCUGAUCCAGCCAUUCCGCGUGAGUGAAGAAGGCCUUCGGGUUGUAAAGCUCUUUCGGCCGGGAAGAAAUCGCAUCUCCUAAUACGGGGUGUGGAUGACGGUACCGGAAGAAGAAGCACCGGCUAACUACGUGCCAGCAGCCGCGGUAAUACGUAGGGUGCGAGCGUUAAUCGGAAUUACUGGGCGUAAAGCGUGCGCAGGCGGCUCACUAAGACAGGUGUGAAAUCCCCGGGCUUAACCUGGGAACUGCACUUGUGACUGCACGGCUGGAGUACGGUAGAGGGGGAUGGAAUUCCGCGUGUAGCAGUGAAAUGCGUAGAUAUGCGGAGGAACACCGAUGGCGAAGGCAGUCCCCUGGACCUGUACUGACGCUCAUGCACGAAAGCGUGGGGAGCAAA
rnacentral:rRNA from 1 species